GCCAAUCUUUUUGCUUAUAUUCACAAGCUGUGGUUUCUUUUUCUUGCUUCCAUAAGACUAAUUCUAAAAAUAUCAAAGAAAGGGGGAGAGGCUGCUUUUGCCUUUGUUCUUUUCUUGUCAAAUUGUAGUCUCACGUGUGCAGUGCAUUCUUGUUAGUUUUGGUUUCUAAGAUCAAGGGUUGUAUUUCUGAUACUUGUAUAGGUUUACAAUAACAAUACCAUUGCAAAUUUUCCCCAAACUUGUAUAGGCUUUUCCUUAUCACUGACCAUGCUGCC
rnacentral:misc_RNA from 1 species